rnacentral:rRNA from 1 species
GGAGGAAUAUUGGUCAAUGGGCGAGAGCCUGAACCAGCCAAGUAGCGUGCAGGACGACGGCCCUAUGGGUUGUAAACUGCUUUUAUACGGGAAUAAAGUGAUGCCUGCGGGCGUUAUUGCAUGCACCGUACGAAUAAGGACCGGCUAAUUCCGUGCCAGCAGCCGCGGUAAUACGGAAGGUCCGGGCGUUAUCCGGAUUUAUUGGGUUUAAAGGGAGCGUAGGCCGUCUGUUAAGCGUGUUGUGAAAUGUCGGGGCUCAACCUGGGCAUUGCAGCGCGAACUGGCAGACUUGAGUGCGCAGGAAGUAGGCGGAAUUCGUCGUGUAGCGGUGAAAUGCUUAGAUAUGACGAAGAACUCCGAUUGCGAAGGCAGCCUGCUGUAGCGUAC